rnacentral:rRNA from 1 species
AGUGAACGCUGGCGGUAGGCCUAACACAUGCAAGUCGAACGGCAGCACAGGAGAGCUUGCUCUCUAGGUGGCGAGUGGCGGACGGGCGAGGAAUACAUCGGAAUCUGCCCAGUCGUGGGGGAUAACGUAGGGAAACUUACGCUAAUACCGCAUACGACCUUCGGGUGAAAGAGGGGGAUCGCAAGACCUCUCGCGAUUGGAUGAGCCGAUGUCGGAUUAGCUAGUUAGCGGGGUAAUGGCCCACCAAGGCGACGAUCCGUAGCUGGUCUGAGAGGAUGAUCAGCCACACUGGAACUGAGACACGGUCCAGACUCCUACGGGAGGCAGCAGUGGGGAAUAUUGGACAAAGGGCGCAAGCCUGAUCCAGCCAUACCGCGUGGGUGAAGAAGGCCUUCGGGUUGUAAAGCCCUUUUGUUGGGAAAGAAAUCUUUCAGGCUAAUACCCUGGGAGGAUGACGGUACCCAAAGAAUAAGCACCGGCUAACUUCGUG